rnacentral:rRNA from 1 species
UUUCCGGAUGGGCGUGCGGCCUAUCAGUUAGUUGGUGGGGUAACGGCCCACCAAGGCGACGAAGGGUAGCUGGCCUGAGAGGGUGGCCAGCCGGAUUGGGAGUGAGACACGGCCCAGACUCAUUCGGGAGGCAGCAAUUAGGAAUCAUGCGCAAUGGGGGAAACCCAGCCGCAGGGACGCCGCCUGAGUGAUGAAGUCAUUUGGGAUGUAAAAAUAUUUCCUGCAGGGAAGAAGAAUGUGACGGUACCUGCAGAGAAAGCCCCGGCUAACUACGUGCCAGCAGCCGCGGUAAUACGUAGGGGGCGAGCGUUGUCCGAAUUUACUGGGCGUAAAGCGCGUGUAGGCGGCUCUUUAAGUCAGGUGUGAAAUCUUGCGGCUCAACCGCAAAACUGCAUUUGAAACUGGAGAGCUUGAGUUUGGGAGAGGAAAGUGGAAUUCCUGGUGUAGCGGUGAAAUGCGUAGAUAUCAGGAGGAACGCCCGUGGCGAAGGCGGCUUUCUGGCCCAAAACUGACGCUGAGGCGCGAAAGCUAGGGGAGCGAACGGGAUUAGAUACCCUGGUAGUCC